rnacentral:rRNA from 1 species
AGAAUCCUAGGGAGGCAGCAGUGGGGGAUAUUGCACAAUGGGGGAAACCCUGAUGCAGCAACGCCGCGUGAGUGAAGAAGGUCUUCGGAUUGUAAAGCUCUGUUCUUGGUGAAGAUAAUGACGGUAGCCAAGGAGAAAGCUCCGGCUAACUACGUGCCAGCAGCCGCGGUAAUACGUAGGGAGCGAGCGUUGUCCGGAUUUACUGGGUGUAAAGGGUGCGCAGGCGGCUCUGCAAGUCAGGCGUGAAAGCUAGGGGCUCAACCCCUAAAUCGCGCUUGAAACUGUGGAGCUUGAGAGAAGGAGAG